rnacentral:rRNA from 1 species
GCCAUGCCGCGUGAGGGAUGAAGGCUCUCGGGUCGUAAACCUCUUUUCUCAGGGAAGAAAAAAGUGACGGUACCUGAGGAAUCAGCAUCGGCUAACUCCGUGCCAGCCGCCGCGGUAAUACGGAGGAUGCAAGCGUUAUCCGGAAUCGUUGGGCGUAAAGAGUCCGUAGGUGGCGCAUCAAGUCUGUCGUUAAAGAGCAGGGCUUAACCCUGUAGAGGCCGUGGAAACUGAUGAAGCUAGAGUGCGGCAGGGGUAGAGGGAAUUCCCAGUGUGGCGGGUGAAAUGCCUAUAGAUUGGGAAAAACACCGGUGGCGAAAGCGCUCUACUAGACCUGCACUGACACUGAGGGACGAAAGCUAGGGGAGCAAAUGGGAUUACAUACCCCAGUAGUCCUAGUCCGUAAACGAUGGAUACUAGGUGUUGUCUGUAUCGACCCGGACAGUGCCGGAGCUAACGCGUUAAGUAUCCCGCCUGGGGAGUACGCACGCAAGUGUGAAACUCAAAGGAAUUGACGG